ACUUGUUUAGCUUAAUAGGAUAAAGCAUCGAUUUUCUAAAUCGUUUAUUGUAGGUUCAAAUCCUUCAACAAGUA
rnacentral:tRNA from 22 species